rnacentral:lncRNA from 1 species
GUUUGUUUCACUUUACACAGCUUCAUUAUCUGAGUGAAAGAGCAUAUACAAGUGGGAGAAAGACAGAGAGAGAGAUGCGGCGCCGACUGCUUUCCGGCGAGCCCUCCGUCAAACCCAAUUAGCCUCCGCGGCAGCAACACCACGACCACAUGAUGCUUCCUUCAAAAGAGAUAAAGAGAGAAAUAGGAGAAGCAUAGAGUGUGGUAUAAGAGAGAGAUAGAGAACUUCGACAGUUCGACUUAGGGUUCCGACGAACUCCUUUUGAUGGUAAAUCUGUGCAUAUGUAAGUUGGAGAAGUUGAAGGGUGAAUCCAAUGAUGGCAGAUUAGAGGAAGAGGAGAAGUCAGGAGCAACUUCUACCAUCCAUCAACAAAAAACAGAAGUUGCCGACCUGCACACCGGUUGUUUCACUUAAUGCUUAGUUGAG